GCUGCCUGCCUGCAUCAUGCUGCUGGCUUCAUCUCCCAGCCUUCCAAGGAGUGGAGUGUGCAAGGUGCAGGGGAGUGACAGUAUGGAUGCAGGGAUGCCCGAGGCUGCAGCAUCCCCUGGUAGAGCCAGAUCCCCGUUGUCCCUAAGGUUUUCUGCCUGAUUAAGAAAAUCCUCAGCCCUGGAUGGAGUGGAGAGGGUGACCACAGGAGAGAUCCAGGGACCAGCCGGGACCCCCUUCCGCAUGGAGUCAGCGCUGGGAGGAGGUGCCGAUCGCACCCUGAUGCUUUCAGGACCCCAGAGCCCGGACCUGUGGGGAGGAUCAGCACCUACUGCUGCCCAAGACCCCCAUCCAGCCUCCAUGUCCUAUGGCACAGAGGGUCCCAGGUGGAGACCAGCAGCCAGCCUGAGAACCUGGGCUGUGAGUCCAUGCCUUCCUGGAGUGCCCAGGCAGAGGCUGUUUGCAUUAAAUAGGAGAGAUUUCCCCCUUAUUAGCAGGCUAUUAAUCACAUUCAGUUUUUUUAAAACUGAGCUGUUGCACAACAGGUUGAGUAACAGCCUAAUAACAGGCUGUAAAUCUCAGUUUGCUCUCUGGGAGAUUACAGAUGUUAAUAACAGAUAAUGACCCACAAUUCACGAGCUGCUCCUUUCCCCCGCCCCUUUGAUCCCUCUGCUCUACCCCUUGCCAUACCCAGCCCCCAGGAUGAAGAGAAGCUGCAGGGAGACCCCCAAAAAUGCAAACUGCCAGAUAACCCACCCAGCAGAGCUGAGAUACAACUGCCCAGCCUGCAGAAACCAGCCCCCACUAACCAUAUCUUCUCAUGCAGCUCCCCAUCAGCAGUUGUGCUGUCACCCCACAAUCCUCUGGUGUGCCAAUUUUGGGGUCCUUCGCUCCAUGUGCUGGUUUAUGUGACCCAUUUUUAGCCAUGGGAAUAUCAAAGCAUUGGUGCCCCAAGCUUGCAUGCUGCCAGACGCUGGGCAUAAAUCUCCCCAUCCCACGUCCUCCCUGCUGCAGUCGGGGGGGGGCUCUGGGCCUCAUGGACGCUCAGGGGCUGCUCUUGGGCUUGCUGCCACCCCAGACAUGGCAAGACCAGAGCACACUACAAGGGACCAUUGCACUGAGACAGGUACCUCCUUGCAGCAGCAGCCACACAGAGGAGCUAACCCCCACAAAACCUCCUGGGGAGGCUUCCAAAGUCAGUCUCCUCCCCACGUCCUGCCUGCCGCCCCAUCCUUACCUGCCCAGUCCUGGGCCCAGAGCACCCUUCCCAAAAUGGGAUCAGACCAACAUUCUGUCCUCCCUGGAUGCUGCCUGCAUCCUUUCUUUGGGAUAUGUACAACCCUGCAAGACCUGGUGUUGGCUGCACAGGGCUCAGUCCAGCCCCAGGCGCUGCUCUGGGGAGCAAGACAGUCCCAAAAGGGCUCCCCACCUCCCUGCCCAUGCACUGGCCGGGAGCAGGAGAAUGGAGGGACCCAGUUGAAAGGGUUUGGGUUUGUAUUGCUCCAGGGGUGGGGGGAAGGGAUGGAGGGCAACUUUCUCCUGACCCUGUCCUGGGUCUGGCACCACUAAGCCAGGGCACAGGAGCAGGGUGACAAUGGUGCAGCCUUUGCCACAGGACACAGGGUCCCUCCAUUCCCAGGCCCAGGGGACAUUCCCCGUGGGUGGCGGUGUCCCCACCAGCAUCCUCUCAGUGCCCUGCAGGAUCUGGGCCUGCAGCCAUUGCUGUAUGGAGGGUAUGGGGCCAGUGGGAGCCAUGGGAUGGGGUGAGGGAGGAGUCGUUCAGCAGGCUGGGCUGGUGAGGGCAGUGAGUCACCACUGGCUUUCCCUGCCAGGGUGGGACCGCCACAGCCACCCAGCAUCCCGCUGCACUUGCCGGUCACACUUGGGCAGCACCAAGCAGCCAACAAGCACAGCAAAACCCACUUCCCUGACCCAAGGGCACCUUGUCCAGCAUCUGGCAUGGCCAGGAGCCCACCUCCAGCAAGCCAGAACAGGUGUUGGGCAGGCAGCGAUGGGGCCCAUCACUUGUGUAGGUACCUAAUGUACCACACUCUGUUCCUUGCAAAAGGAUGCAGAGGGUUGGGGGUGCUGGGUCCCCUUGAGGCUAGGCAGCCCACUGGUGCAAGCACUCCUGCUGUACUGUGCAUACCCAGACGCUGUGUACACACCAGCACCAUAUGGCAACAGUCACUGGCACUGAUGCCGGCACCACCGGCAGGUUAGGAAGAAGGAUGGGGAAGCAGCUGUGUUUGCUAUGAGAGGCAACUGCCGGCUGGGAGCCGUGGGCCAGCACCCCAGACGGCGCCAAGCCAGUGCAGGCAGCACCCCAUGCCACUGUAUAGGUGUUCUUAUGUCUCUCCAGGAGCACCGUGCCAUCCCUUCAGCAGACCUGCGACACUGCUGUAGAUGGACACUAGGAGAGCUACAGCCAGGACCCCAUCCAGAAAGGGCUUGGUCUCCAUCACCUGCCUAUGGCAAGGAUUAUGCGGUGACCUGAGGUGGCUCUAGGGUCCUCCUGAGCAGGAGGCGUAAGGCCACCAGCCCUACGGUGGGGUGGUGUGGGAGCACUCAGUGCAUCCCUCUGGAUGCAGAGGUGGCUCAGGUCUGUCUCACCGGCAGGUGCAGCAUGAUGCCACCUUGGGCUGUGGGGCAGUGUCCUCUCCACACCCACGGCAGGUGCUAUGGGGAGGCCCUGGGGGAUGCAGGGAGGAUGGGCAAGGAGGAAAGAACUUUCCUAAAAGGAGAUGAUGGUCAAUCUGCAAGCACGCCUUGGGGGAUGCAGCAGCCACAGCCAGGCCACCCAACCCAGCCUCCAGUACCUGGUGCCCCGUUAGGCGGGUGUCAAGUGGUGCUCGCCCUGCCAGUACGUGGCACCAGGGCUGCCAGUCCUUUCCCUAGGAACACCUCGCAGUGGGAUGAGAACAGUACCACUCCCUGGAGCGGGGAAUGUGGGCCAGGGCUGCCCCAGCCAGUUUCCUUUGGGAUGUUGUUAGUAACCUCACACGUGAGUCACUGUGGUUGUGGGUGUUCUUGCCCUCUGCUGGCCCCACAGCUCUCCUGUGCGGGUGGUGGGGGCUGCAGCCCCCUCCUCGGCCUGUCCAUGGCCACGUUUCUCCACGACCUGCAUGGGGACAAAAGCUCCUCCAUGCAGCCCUGCAGGGGAGGGAACCUCAGCAGUGGGGUCCUGGAGAGGGGUGCAGGGAAGAGCGCAGCAGUGGCCCCAUCCUGGCACCUGGGGAGGGCUGGUGGCCCUUCUCCAUCCCUCUUCCUUGGGCUUCCCCGCAGCCAGGGAGCAGCGUGACAGCCCCCCUGGCAGUGAUGAAAGGUGGCCGAGGGGAGGUUUGUGGCCGGGAAGCUGCUAUAAGAGGGCCCGGGGACCUUUGAUAUGCAGAAGCCUCUGGCUCCGCUGAUUGCGUUAGCGUGUUUAGUGCCCGAGCAGGCAGCCAGCCCCUGCUAUCAGGAGCAGACAAGCUGCUAAAGGGUCCAGCUCCCAUUUUAGAUGCAAAUGACCCUGCAAUUGUGGACUUGGAGGGGAGAAGAAUCCCCAAAUCACCUUCGGGUGGAAGCAGACCUGGCUGGGGACAAAAAGGUUCCCAGGCAGUUUGAGUGGCCCCAUAAUUGUCCCAUUGAUGCCUCAGGUGCAGGCAUCACAGCCUCAAUGCCUUCCCGGAACCAGCCCCUUUAUGGGAAGUGCAGAUUCCCGGAGAAAUCCCCCACCAUCCCCACCACCAUCCCGGGCUGCCCGCAUGUCCCCGUGCCUGCCACUAAUGUCCCGAGGGCAGGCUGCUCCUGCCCGGGAGCCUGGAGCUCAGCUACCUCCCGGCUUUGAAGUGCAUCAGAUUGGGCUAAUGGGGAGGUGCAGGGGGGCUGGGGGAGGCUAUUCCCCACCCUGGGCAGUGGUGGUCUGGGGGAGGUGACUGGGCACAGCCAGAGUCCUCCAAUGUCCUCCAAGCCCCGGUGUCCCCUGAACCCCUAUGCCUGCUGGGACCCCAUUUGCACUGGCUGAACUGGGGCAGAGUUCCUGGGUCAGACCUGGAUUUGGGUGACUUCAGGAGCAUCUCAGCUCCCUAAAUCCACACAAAGACUCAGAGCAAGGCUGGGCCGCUGUCCCUGCUGGGAAGUGGCAGACCCCAACCCCAGGGCAGUGAAGAGGGCUUUCCUUCCUCCUCCUCUCAGCACUGUCCUAGUGCUUCUCUACUGGCCCUGGGCACCUUGUGCCAUCCCACAUGCCACCCCACACCGGUCCCCUAAGCUGAUCUGAGCCCUGCCUUGGGCAGGGUGGUGUGGGGGGCUGCCCACCACCCCGCAUCUCCUUAUCCCCCACCCCUGGGCUGUAAGCCUGGAAGGGCAGAGUCCAAAAAGGCUUUGCCACAGGGAGUGCCUGGGCAGCAGAGCUGGGCUCCCUCGCUGUGUGGACCCUUACCCACUGCCCUGGGGGCAGCCCCACACACAGCCCAACAGAGCCCCUAUAGUGCCAUGGCCCACAGGGGAUGACCCAGCCCCAUGGAGAGCUUCACAGCCCCAAAGAGCCCAACUGCAGCCCUGUAGAAACCCUCCUUGACCCUCAACAGCCCCAGGCCCAGAAGAGGAGGGGUGUGGGGCUAUGCAAGAAGGACAGCAGUGAGCCAGGGUGGACGUGUAGCCCAAAAAUCCCAAAGAUCCCCUCUCUCUUGCCCAGAUUCUAGCCUCUCUGUGGCAUGGGCAUGGCCCAUGUAGCCUACUUGCCCUCACCUGUGCCACGAGUUCAGCCAGGUCUCAUUCACGCCACGUCUCUGUGAGAGAAGGUAGCUUUGGGGCCAUCAGCCCUGGGGAGGUCCUCCAGGUACCCCCUGCAUCCCACAGUGCAUAGAGUGCCAGGGAAGCAGGAGGGGCUAAACUGGCAUGGUGGGGAGCAGGGGACUUUGAAGUCCUCAGUUGUCACUUGUUCACAGUCACCACUGCUUUCCAAAACAAGGAGGCAGGCAGGUGCGCAGGGCAUGUCCUCCAUGUCUGUCCCCGCAAAAUCACGUGGCUCUGCUUUGAUGUAGGUGGAAAAUUCCCUUUUUGGCUUGGAAUCUGGGGGGCUGGGGUGUCCAACGCCAGCUAUGCUUGGUGAGGAAUUAAAAACGUGUUUUGUUGGAAAGAUUUUUCCUCUCCUGACUGGGGAGGUGACAUCCGAACCUUAUUUUCCUUUCCACAUUGGGACACGUGCCAGUGGUGCUGAGUGGUCCGUGGGGACCCAGAGGAUGCCACGGCUGCACCGAGCCCUUCGCUGGCACGUGGGAGGUAACUGCGGACCAGGACUGAGGCGCAGCGGGGAAGAUGGAGCCGGGAAAAUGGAGGCUACAACAGGCUGAGUUUGUGCUGGAGGCUGUUUGCCUCUAGACCAAACACGUGCUGAGGUUGGGCAGGGAGCCGGCUCGGCUGUGGAUUUUAAAACAGCAGCUCAUCUGCCAAGGACCCUCCUACUCUGCCACGGGCUGGGUGGAUCCCGGACCCGCUGUGCACCUUGUGCUGCUGGCGAAGCGCUGCACGCCCGGCCGGCUCCGCUCCAGCACCGCAGCCGCUGCGGGGCCAGGAGGCAGGGAGGGGUGCGCUGGCUGCUCCCGCUGUACUCCCGGCCGUGGCUGUGCACCAGCCCAGCUCUGGGACAAGCAGCCUGCAGCCAUGCCCGAGCACUAUCCGCUCAGGGAAUGCUUCUCCCCAUGCAUCCUCCGGGAAGGCUGCUGGGCUCCAGCACUGGCAGCACGGUGCCCUGGAGCAGGUGGAGAGGACCAUCCCUGUCUCCUGGCAUCGCCCCCAGCAUCUGGGGCAUCCCAGGGACCCUUCACCCCAGGGCGGUGGUCUCUGCUUCGAGACCAUGCUUGCGGGAUGGCAGUACCCCUUCUGCCUGCUUCCCCCAGGGCUUGGGGCAGGAGCAAACCAGGGUUGAUACAUCAGGGUCACUCAGGGAGCCAGGAGAAUAGCGGGAUGUGUGUGCUGGGAAUGGGAAAGCUCAGGCUUCCCCCUAGUCCCUCCCUGAGGGACUGUCCCUCUAUCCCACCACUUGCAAAUGGCAACCUUGUCCCUCAGGAGCAAGACCUUAUGAGAACCUCCCCUCUGAGGAACCUGCUGCCCCGCCAGCCCCCGCAGGAUGCUCUGGGAUGGAAGGCUGUGAUAAGGAUCAUCCUCGGUCUUUUCAGAUGUGGUUGCUGCCCUGGGGGACACCAGGCACAGGGUCUGCCAUAGCCAGGGUGCUAUGGCUCCCACCCAGCUGGCUGUGGCAUGGCCAGCACCACACACAUGUGUGCACUAAUGCCUGCAGAUGAGCUUAUGAGCUCCCUGGGGAUUUUGCUCAUGCCACAAAACUUCAAAGCAUAACGGGUGCUCCAAGGCAACCCCUUUCCACCCCCAGAAAUGGCUGCAGCCCUGGUGAAAGGGAAGGCAGGAUUCAGGCUCCGGGUCUGCAGCAAUCUUUCUUCAUCCCUCUCCUGCUUGCCCAGAUCUGUGUCUGUCCAUCCUCAGCCCAAGAACACACAGAAGGACCCUCUGCCUCCACUGCCCCUCUGUCCUCACUGUCCCCAGUGCACACCAGCACCACCAGCACCACCAGGGUAGGUGAAACAGCCGGUUCUCUGUGAGUGACUCAUGCUGAAAUACAUGACGUUCUCCAUAUUUCAGGGCUUUUGGCUUGGAUGAGAAAAACAUCAGGGCGUAAGAAAGUUUCUUUGUGAGCUGCUCUUAAAACACUGGAGGGAUUUCUCCUACUGCUCGCUUGCACUCUACUUUUUUGGGAGAAAACUAGAUUUUUAAAUAAAAACAAUAUUUUGAUUGCUUAAAAUGUGGAAAAUAGGCAAUUAAGAAAAAUGUUUUGUCUUGAUUUAUUAAAAAACAAAACAAAACAAAACUGACGACCAUCCGGGUCCAUCCCAAACAGCUCCCAGCUGCACACAGCGAGCAGCGAGUGCAUGACCCCGCAGCUGGACACACUGCCUCCACCACCUC